UCUACGUUUAUCUUCUCAGGAUUUUAGGUUAAAUAAACCAAGUAUGGGGACUGGGGACACUCUGUUGCUGAAAUGACAUCACAGGAAAAGGGGGUGGGCAGAGAUGACUUGGCAGUGUUAGAAUCCAGCUUCCACAUUUGACUUGGGCUCCCUAGCUAUUAAUCCAGAUCCUCCAGAUUAUAGAACAUUCAUCAAUGUUACUAAGGCAGCACAGAGGUAAGCAAGGAAGUAAGAGGACACCUGACGAAGGAACUGAUAGGCUUUUGUUUUUUUUUUUUUUAACCUCUCCUUAGAUUUCUAAUGGACAGUGGGGUUGGAGUUUUUUUAUUGCAACUUUUCUCAUAACCUUUCUGUCUGAACUCCAAACCCUAAGAACUACAUGUCUGAGAUCUGAAUGUGUUCUUGGUCCCAAAUCAAUCUUGUCACUCCUCAGAAAGCAAUGCAAGAUAAUAAGUAAUAUUCACCUGAUUGCUUUCCUGCUCAGAGACAGCUAGUGACGUGUGUCUUGCUGAUAAGUAGGAGUUGCUGAUGUGAGGCAGGAUAAAGUGAAGCUUGGAGCUUUCAGAAUCUCAAUUUGACAGUCGUGGCUGAGGAGAGGGUCAGCGGGGAUAGAAUCUGUGACACCGAUGAGAAAAGAACAAAAUUUAUCUGCUCUGGUUGCAAUGAUUAGAUGUCUCUUUGUCUGGCUUCCUUACAGUGGGUGACUGAUUUUACCGGGCCAGCUGGUUAAUAUUAUAAUUAACAAAGUUUGCUACAUCUGUAAAGUUUAAUCGAAAAAUUUGCCGGUGAUGUGAUAGUGUUGUCACAAAGAUCACAAGGGACCAGGAGCCUGAUUUUAUUCAAGGUGGAGCGGCAAAGCUGUGUCGGCAUGAUGAAAAAUUGCGAACUUGUUCAACCAAAAGGUUCUGCUUCAUGUCACCCACCGGGAAGGAUCAUCUCUCACAAAAACUUUCAAAUUUGAUUUUGAAAAUUUAUUCAGAAAAAAAUGUGAGCCAUGCUUUCUCUCGACAUAGGAAAUAAUAUGCUCUGGAGAAUCCUCUGGUUUGCAGAACAUGGCAGAGAGAGCGUUCGGGUUCUCAUACUACCAGAAUCCUCUUGGGAAGGACAGCCAGGAGGCUAAUAAUGGAGGGGCCGGGGGAAGAAGGCCAAUGUUACAGGGUUAUCUCACGACUUCAGAUGCUGGAUAAGUCCAAGGAGACAGACUCGCUUCUUCAUGACAUUCAGAAAAGCUAGCCUGAUCAUUUGGAAGAGAGAAAGCCUGCCUAUUCUUUCCAAGAUAAUGAUGGCCCUGAUAAUGCCCAUCUAAAAGUCCAAUGAUGAAUCUUAGAAAUCUGCCUUAAACAAAGGAUGAACUACAAUCCCCACCACAUCUCAAACCAUGCUUUGAAGGAUCUGCCAAGCUCACUUUUAAUCAUGAGAAAGAAAUUACCCACAUGGAGACAGCAGAAAAUGAGAAAGUAGAGCUCGUGCUGCGAAUAAUUCCGGCGAGUGCCAAGGGGCUAGUUGAGGAAUGGCUU